UAAGAGACUCCUGCUGGCAUACAGAAGGAUUGAAAUCGCUGCAGAUUAUGGCCCUAUUUAUCAUAGUUGUAUGAAUAGUCUUGUUAAGGGAAUGCAUGACAUAUAAAUUUAGAGCGCGCAUGAUAGAAAUGUAACGCGCACAUCGCAAAGGAGAUGGUGUUACAGCGGGUAUUUGUGCCUCCUGCCAAAGACCUUUGCAAUGGGAGUGUUAAGAUGCCUCCAAACUUAAAGACUUUAAACAGUAACUGAGUGGGGUAAUCGGAUGGACUGCUUUGAAGGAGGGGCUGUGGUAGCACAGUGGCUGAGAGUCUGAUCCUGCAUCUGUGUCCUCUGAAGACCUGGCUCCUUACAUCAGGCUCAGUAGUCCUGCAGCAUCACCCUCCCAGAUUACUCAGCUUCAAUUCAUCCUCAGCGAUCGACCAUCCUGCAUCUUAAAGGAAGCAACAGUCCUCCAGGGAGAAAAAAACAUACGUGAACGUAUAAUGAAAGCAUGUUUCAUAAUAAAUAAGUACCAGG